rnacentral:rRNA from 1 species
UACGUAGGGGGCAAGCGUUAUCCGGAUUUACUUGGCGUAAAGCGCGUGUAGGCGGUUGCGCAAGUUCGUUGUGAAAUCUCCCGGCUCAACCGGGAAACUGCAGCUAAUACUGCGUGGCUAGAGUGGCAGAGAGGAAAGUGGAAUUCCCGGUGUAGUAGUGAAAUGCGUAGAUAUCGGGAGGAACACCAGCGGCGAAGGCGACUUUCUGGCUGCUAACUGACGCUGAGACGCGAAAGCUAGGGGAGCGAACGGG